UAGGACUCUCGGCAAUGGAUAUCUUGGCUCUCGCAUCGAUGAAGAGCGCAGCGAAAUGCGAUACGUGGUGCGAAUUGCAGAAUCCCGUGAACCAUCGAGUUUUUGAACGCAAGUUGCGCCCGAGGCCAGAUGGCCAAGGGCACGUCCGCCUGGGCGUCAAAUGUUGAUUCGCUCC
rnacentral:rRNA from 7 species